rnacentral:snRNA from 1 species
AUACUUACCUGACAGCGGAGAUACCAUGAUCACGGAGAUGGCUUUCCCAGGGCAAGGCUGAUCCAUUGCACUGGGGAUCUGCUAACCCCUCUGAUUUCCCCACGUGGGGGAAACGCAACUGCAUAAUUUGUGUUGGUGGGGGGUUGCAUUUGCUCUUUUCCCUG